AGGCUGAGCAGUUCUAUACACAGGAAAAAAGGAUGUAUUCUUGCUUUUCGUUUGAUACAGUUUGAAAACAGAUUUCAAGAUUUCUGGGAAAAGCAUAUUUUGCAGUGUCAGACACACCAGCAGCUCAUGAAUGUGUGCUGCUGUUACCUUCUCAGCAACCUCAUGAUGUGUUGUCCAAAGCAUCUUGGAAUGCCAGCUUAUGACGGAGGUCUCUACAUUACAGAACCUGUAUCUUGAAUGAUAGCACCCA